GAACUGCAGACUGAGCCUAAAGUCUGGUGGCCCUUUGGUGACAGGAUAGCAGAAAUGAUUCUACCAAUGCCAGCGGCAUGCACCAGAAACCAGGAAGGAAUCAUACAGCUGAGCCAACCUGCUGUACUUUAAAACACUUGACCACAAUUCUCCAGUGGAUACUCAACCCUGGCUUCAAACUCCCUUGUCUCUCCGGUGAGUUUGCUUUCCCUCCUUCAAGACUUGCCUCAACAAUCCCUACCCCCACCUCUUCUGAACUAUGUCACCUCACUCCCAGCUCCUGUCCUAGGGAUGAGGGAGCAGAAGGCAAGCUUAGGACAAAGCAGAAGCUGGCGCCCUACACCCUCUCCCCAAGCCAUAUGUGUAACAUUCCUCAUGCACUCCUGGCUGCCCUAAAGGAAAAACGAUGCUUAACUGAUAGAGAUCCCUGUCCUGCAGGACAGGAGUAUCCCUCCAUCUACGAAUGUCCUAGUGACUUACAAGGAAGGAAGAAGCUUUCUCAUCUAUAGCCUGACUUCCAGACACCCAUACCUCAGUUUCCGGAAGCCCUAACAUCACCCUACCCUCCAUAAAAUUGAGGGAGGCUAAGGAGGAGGGAAGUGUAAUAAAACUGAAUUUCUUCUAAGCCCAAAGCCCACUGACAAGGAUGUGUGAUAGGAGGAAUGUAACAUAUCUCCAGGAAACUCCCGACUGUCUUCAUGCUUU